ACAGGCGGGCACUCUCUGCGGGUCCCGCGGCUCCCGCGGCUUCCGGCCCACUCAGCGCCUCCAGAGGCCUCAGGUGAGGGUCACCCCCCGCAGCUUGGGGUCACUCCCCUGAGCCCCCGGAUCUUCCCAUGGGUCCUUUGGAGGCCUGGGUUUUGGAGUUUGUCCUUCGUUAAGUGCCGCCCGCCGGGCGCGGCUGCUCCAGGACCACAGACGAGUCUCGCUCUGUUGCCCAGGAUGGAGUGCAGUGGCGCGAUCUCGGCUCGCUGCAAGCUCCGCCUCAGCCUCCGGAGUAGCUGGGACUACAGGAGCCCGCCACCACGCCCAGCUAAUUUUUUUGUAUUUUUAGUAGAGACGGGGUUUCACCGUGUUAGCCAGGAUGGUCUCGAUCUCCUGACCUUGUGAUCCGCCUGCCUCGGCCUCCCAAAGUGCUGGGAUUACAGGCAUUUCGCUGGGGAUGCUACUUGAUCUCUCUUCAGCCUCAGUUUCCUCACCUGGACAGUGGAGCUGAACCCACCCCCCACUAUCUGACCCUGCUCUCUGGGCUGUCUUUUGGGAACCCGCCCUGCUGAGGCCUGCUCCCCACCCUCCAUGGCUGUCAGCCCCCCAGGAGAAGAAUGUCUGCCAUAUGGAGGCUGCUGGCAGCAAAGGGAGAUGAACAAGCCAAGGUUGCCCGGCCUGCAUGCCGGCCCAGGGCUGCUGCUGUGUCUUGCCAUCAACCCUCCCCUGACACCCAGGAUGCCUGCCUCACCCAGAAGCACUCCUACGUCAGGCCUCUGAGGGGGAGCGCUUCAUGCCACUGUUAUCAAAAGAAGAAACCAUCGAAGCAGAAAGGCCAAUGCCACACUAGACAGCCAGGAGCCCAGCAGAACAAGUGGCCCCCUAAGGCACUUUGGGGACCACACCCCGCCACUGACCCCAGCACAGUCUGGUUCCCAGGGCUUCAGGAUCCUCCUGGGGACCUCUCAGCAUGAUUGACACAGGCAGACGGGACCUGAAGGGGCUGCUGGUCCUUCUGAAAAUGUUCACCAGGUAGUGUGAGUGUGGGGAAGCCAUGAACAAUGUGUGGGACUCUACCCUGCACCUGCUCAGAGCCUCAGCCCUUCAGAGCCACUACUAAUGAUUUGCUGUGGGUGGGGUCACCCUGAUACUUCUCUGAGGUGGCUUUUUCUUGCAGUUUUUCUGAGUAACUGACAGGAAUCCUUGACUGCAUGCCGCCUAAACUAGGGUGUGCACAGCCCUCGUUCUGUGCAAAGAGGGUGCAAAGCAGCAGAGUGUCUGUGACCCAUUUGCCACCUAAUGUUACUACAAGAUUUGCAAGAACCGGUCACUUAUCAGUAACCAUUUUUAUUUAAAAAGAUAAAAUAGAGCUUUGCAGGAAAGUGCUGCAGGCUCCCACGUUGCCGGGCAGACGACAACCUGGGCGCCUCGCCCAGCUCCUCCCCACAGCCAUUGGCAUCCACUGUCAGGUUUCAAUGUUCUUGGACCUCAGGGCCUUCGUCCUCUCCAAUCUAAAUGCAGAGAGACAUUUGACAUGGACUCUCUCAGGUGUUUUGCAAAAUGCAACACAUUCUCAUUGACUCUGGUCACUCUGCUGUGCACUACAUGUCAAAACCUCUUCCUCCUCCCUGAGACUUUGGUCCUUUAACUGACAACCCCCCUCCCAUUCCCUCCCUCUGCCACUCUCUGACCCCUGGUCACCAUCGAUCUACUUGCUACUUCUAUGGGGUCAACUUGUUUAGAUCAACACUUCUGGGACCUCACGUGGAAUUGGUCUCUCUGAGGUAGUGGAGAUGCUAAGUAGUGGGAUUUCCUCAUUCCACAUUGUACCCCAUGAAUGAAUACAAGCAUGAUUUGCCAAUUGAAGCAAUACAAUAAAGACAGAAGAAAUGUAAAAUGC
rnacentral:lncRNA from 10 species